AGAGUUUGAUCAUGGCUCAGAACGAACGCUGGCGGCAGGCUUAACACAUGCAAGUCGAACGCGUGUAGCAAUACACGAGUGGCGCACGGGUGAGUAACGCGUGGAUAUCUGCCUUUUGGUUCGGAAUAACUCCGGGAAACUGGAGCUAAUACCGGAUGGUUCCUACGGGAUAAAGAUUUAUCGCCAAAAGAUGAGUCCGCGUACGAUUAGCUAGUUGGUGGGGUAAUGGCCCACCAAGGCGACGAUCGUUAGCUGGUCUGAGAGGACGAUCAGCCACACUGGGACUGAGACACGGCCCAGACUCCUACGGGAGGCAGCAGUGGGGAAUAUUGGACAAUGGGGGCAACCCUGAUCCAGCCAUGCCGCGUGAGUGAUGAAGGCCUUCGGGUUGUAAAGCUCUUUUGGCGGGGACGAUGAUGACGGUACCCGCAGAAUAAGCCCCGGCUAACUUCGUGCCAGCAGCCGCGGUAAGACGAAGGGGGCUAGCGUUGUUCGGAAUUACUGGGCGUAAAGCGAGUGUAGGUGGUUGUCAUAGUCAGGUGUGAAAGCCUUGAGCUCAACUCAAGAAAUGCACUUGAUACUGGGCGACUAGAGGACCGGAGAGGAUAGUGGAAUUCCCAGUGUAGUGGUGAAAUACGUAGAGAUUGGGAAGAACACCAGUGGCGAAGGCGGCUAUCUGGACGGUUUCUGACACUAAGACUCGAAAGCGUGGGGAGCAAACAGGAUUAGAUACCCCGGUAGUCCAA
rnacentral:rRNA from 1 species